rnacentral:sRNA from 1 species
GCUGGGCAUGGUGUCCAUGCCUGUAAUCCCAGCAGCUUGGGAGGCUGAGGAAGGAGGAUCAUGAGUUCAAAACUAGUCUCAGCAACGGCGAGACACUAAGUAACUCAGUGAGACCCUCUCUCUA